rnacentral:lncRNA from 1 species
AGAAGAGGAAGCAAAAAAGAGCAGCCUGCAAAUGCAGCCAUGGUGGGAAGGACUUGGAUCAGAUCCCAGAGGAGCCAGGCAACUUGAGUUUAGGAAUAGGGAGAAAUGUCUGGGGGAUUGCUGCUCUCAUCAAGAUAACUGCCUGGAAAGACUGUGAGUUGUUUGUUGUUCUUUUUAAAAAUAUUUUUAUGUGUAUUAGAGUUUUGCCUGCAGCUAUGCCAGAGUGAAAGUGACACAUCCCCUGGAGCUGGAGUUACAGACAUUGUGAGGCGCCAUGUAGGUGCUGGGAAUUGAACCUCUGUCCUCUGGAAGAGCAGCCAAUGCUCUUGACUGCUGAGCUAUUUCCCAGGAUGUCCUUAUGCUGCUCUGUGUGAGCAGAGGCCAGGCACUGCUAUGUGGAAACUAUCCCAACUUUGGUAGCCUCACAUAUGGGCUUGAAAAGACGAUGAUGGGAACCUGACCACAACAGCAUGUACCAGCAACCAUUAUUUAAGGAACCCAGACGAGGAACUUGUAUCAGUUCAGAUGUCACCUCUCCCAGGAAGUUCCUGGCUGGGUCCCAGACUCUCAUCUCUUGCCUCCAGUGAGCAGCCCUAACUCCUGUGGGUGACACUGUGUAUGACACGGGGAAGGAGCAGGAAGAGAUGCCUGUACGUGACUCUCGUGGACAUCUCUCAAGAUGAGAACAGUUGAGCAAGGUCAGCAGCAGAGUCAGAACUCUUCCCCCAUCACCACAGUGGUCCUCAAGCUGGAGCCAGACAUCCACCCAGGUGACCCAGCUUGGAUCAUGUGCUUAGGGCCAUGUUGAGCCAACAACUGAGCCUGAGGAUUACCUUCCCAAGUCUCAGUCCCUUCCUCACCAGUCGGGACACUUGUCAUGCCUGCGAGAUGUCAGACCUGCCUUCCUUCCUCAUUUCCUCCACAACCCACAAGAACACAGCCAGGACCCCUAGGCUUCUCCACUUCAGGACCACUACACACUAUUCACACCAUCCUUCAGGACCACUACACACUAUUCACACCAUCCUUCAGGACCACUACACACUAUUCACACUGUACGUCAGGACCACUACACACUAUUCACACCAUCCUUCAGGACCACUACACACUAUUCACAUUGUACUUCAGGACCACUACACACUAUUCAUACCAUCCUUCAGGACCACUACACACUAUUCACAUUGUACUUCAGGACCACUACACACUAUUCACACCAUCCUUCAGGACCACUACACACUAUUCACAUUGUGCUUCAGGACCACUACACACUAUUCACACUGUACUUCAGAUCCACUAUACACUAUUCACACCAUCCUUCAGGACCACUAUACACUAUUCACACUGUACUUCAGGACCACUAUACACUAUUCACACUGUACUUCAGAUCCACUAUACACUAUUCACACCAUCCUUCAGGACCACUACACACUAUUCACACUAUCCUUCAGGACCACUAUACACUAUUCACACUGUACUUCAGGACCACUACACACUAUUCACACCAUCCUUCAGGACUACUACACACUAUUCACACCAUCCUUCAGGAUCACUAUAUGUGGCCUGUUGUACCAUGUGAUCUCGAUCUCACUGCAUGGCUAGGAGAACCUCCGCGCACUUCUCUCAUCUGUGCUUUCUCAGCUAGAGAGGUCUCAGAAGAUACUGUGAGCAAAACCUCCUCAGUAUGCCCUAGAAAGUCUAUAGUGGCACUACCUCCCAUCCUACAGCUGAGAAAACUGAGGUUUGGAUCAUGGUCUAGUCAUAGCUGAAACCCAAGGCUUGAUUCCUUAUCCUACAGAACACAUUUUUUUGAAUUUUAAAUAUUAUAGUGUGUGUGUGUGUAUGUGUGUGUGUGUGUGUGUGCUCACAUAUUCAUGUGGAGGUCAGAGGACAACUUUUGUCCUCUUCCACCAUAGAGCACAGCUUUGACCUGUAAGCUGCCACUCCUAUGUGGGGUUAUAUAACUGAAUAUGAGGGUUGCAACAUUUUUGGCAACAAUAAAAGGCUUCCGAAUGCAUAACAACCAAAUAGAUUAAAGAUCAAAUCUGCCUUGAAUCUAAGGUGUUUCUGGCAGUACUUGGCCAUGUGCACCACGUGACUGCACUGCUGCUCUGACUCUGAACAAACAAAAGACAAAGUUAAAUGAGAGGCUGGACAGAUGGCUCAGUGGUUAAGAGGACUGGCUGCUCUCUCAGAGGACUUGGAUUUAAGACCCACACCCACAGGACUGCUCACAAUUCUCCAAGUAGAGUCUUAGAGGAUCUGACAACCCCUUCUGGCCUCCAUAGGUACCAGGCACACAUGUAGUGCAUAUAUCUACACUCACCCAAAACACUCAUACACAUAAAAUAAGUAAGUAGAAAAAUGGAAAACAAAAUAAGCAAGCACUUCCAUCUUACUGGUGUGCAAUUUACUUUCAUUCUUAAUAAAUGGUAAAACUACGUGUCAAAGGACUGUUUUAAAAUAAAUUUCCUUAUGAUUUA